rnacentral:rRNA from 1 species
AGGACGAACGCUGGCGGCGUGCCUAACACAUGCAAGUCGAACGCGCUCCAUUCGGUAGCAAUACUGAUGAAGAGUGAGUGGCGAACGGGUGAGUAACACAUGAGCAACCUGCCCCGAAGACUGGGACAACACCGGGAAACCGGUGCUAAUACCGGAUAUCCCUAUCGGACCGCAUGAUCUGAUAAGGAAAUGGAUUCCGCUUCGGGAGGGGCUCGUGGCCUAUCAGCUAGUUGGUGAGGUAACGGCUCACCAAGGCAUCGACGGGUAGCUGGUCUGAGAGGACGAUCAGCCACACUGGGACUGAGACACGGCCCAGACUCCUACGGGAGGCAGCAGUGGGGAAUCUUGCGCAAUGGGCGAAAGCCUGACGCAGCAACGCCGCGUGGAGGACGAAGGCUUUCUGAGUUGUAAACUCCUUUCAGCAGGGACGAUAGUGACGGUACCUGCAGAAGAAGCACCGGCCAACUACGCGCCAGCAGCCG